UGGAAAGGCUUUUUUAAAGCUUUUUUUCUAUUAAAUUCAUAUACAAAUAAGAAAAAGCUUUUAGCCAAAAGGUUGAAGUUUCUCAACCUUUUAAUCAAAUAAGUGUUCUUACUCAAUGAAGUAGCAGAAGUCCUGUAAGGAGAGUGCCUAAAAUAAGUGCAAGUCCAAUCCCAAAGAGGGUUACAAGGAGCCCAAGUGUUCCCGAUGAUAGAUUAGGCAAGGAGUGCGUCAAGGAGUCCUGUAUGAAAAGGGUCUCAACCGGCCAUCUGUGGUCGAGAAGAGUGUGUCAAGAAGCCGAUCACCAAAUGGCACUCCAAAACGAGUUAGAAAAGGACGAGGUUUCACCAAGGAAUAUUCUUUUGCUCGGAGAUACCGUACCCCAAGCCCUGAGCAGUCACCUACCAGGUCUUAUCAAUCUGGCUAUAUAUGCUCAAAGAAGGUACAAUAAUAUAUAGGCUUUAUUGAGACGUUGAUUGUAGAUGACCUGUUUUAUGAACGAUAUUCUGUGUUGGAAAUGAGCAAAUACGGAUCCAUAAGCAUGGAAAAUAUCGAAUGGAGUGAGCACUAGAUGCUGUUUAUGUGAUCUCAUUUAACUAAAUAUUUCAACAUUUUCAUUGUUUUAUAAAUGGUUAACUUUUUAUCCAACGAUAUAUGAGUUUAUCUAUAAACCACGUUAUAAAUAGUAUAUCAAUCAUACGAGUAUAUGACUCGCAA